rnacentral:rRNA from 1 species
CCUACGGGAGGCAGCAGUGAGGAAUAUUGGUCAAUGGACGAACGUCUGAACCAGCCAAGUAGCGUGAAGGAUGACUGCCCUAUGGGUUGUAAACUUCUUUUAUAUGGGAGUAAAAUGUUCCACGUGUGGGAUUUUGUAUGUACCAUAUUAAUAAGGAUCGGCUAACUCCGUGCCCGCAGCCGCCGUGAUACGGAGGAUCCGAGCGUUAUCCGGAUUUAUUUGGUUUAAAGGGAGCGUAGGUGGAUUGUCAAGUCAGUUGGGAAAGUUGGCGGCUCAAACGUAACAGUGCAGUUGAAACUGGCAGUCUUGAGUACAGUAGAGGUGGGCGGAAUGCGUGGUGUAGCGGUGAAAUGCUUAGAUAUCACGAAGAACUCCGAUUGCGAAGGCAGUUCACUGGAGUGCAACUGACACUGAGGCUCGAAAGUGUGGGUAUCAAACAGGAUUAGAUACCCCUGUAGUC